UACUCUCUUAAAAACCAUCCUCGGUUCUAAUAUUCAUUAUGACUAAUCGAGUGAACGUUUCAUGUUGGUAAAUAUGCUAGCAAACCCUAAAAUAAGAUUCAAAACUCAACUGAAGUUGCUGAAAUUUCUUUUACAUUAGCAAAAAAUCACUUUUAAAAAAAAAUAAGACCUAUUUUGAGCAUUUAGAUUAUUACCACAACCCCGGUAACGAACCUUGACCAACGAAACAUAAAUCAGCUAAAAAAAAUAUACU
rnacentral:lncRNA from 1 species